AGACCAGCCUGAGCAACAUGGAGAAACCCGUCUCUAAAAAAAAAAAAAAGACCCUUCUUAGAACUUUGAAGAAAAAUCUUUAGUAACUAAUCUAAGUAACAGUUUGGGAUUCAAUUUAACUGUUACUUUGUUACUUGCUUAUAUUUGUAGAAAGCAACUAUUUAUUGCGAGCAUACUAUUUGUCAGAUGAUUUGGGAAAUUAGGACAUACAAAACUGCUUUAGAAUAAUAGAAAUAUUCAUUAAUAAAAAUGGUUUAAAAUUACCAUUUAGUUACAUGGGUUUUUUUAUGUUUAGAUGGGAAAAUGAGGCUACAUUUGUGUGCCAGUAAAAAUGAAUACAAGUGUGCCUUGGUUUGGUUAUAGGUAUGCUUCUUGGGAUGAUUUCUAUUAUUAGAAACUAUGACUGUUUCAUGCUUUUAAAGUCUGCUAAAUAUAGAUGUUUUUCCAAGUAACUUUUUCAUGCAAAGUACUUUUAAAAAUUAUUAAUCUUUACUAAAAACCUGAGUAUUUUAGUAGUUCAUUAAAGCCCUACUUUUGAUUUUCCUUUUGCUGGAUUAAUAGGCCUACACCAAGACCUGUGUUUUGUAUAUUCUUGUAGAAAAGAGAUAAAUUUUCUCCCUAAAGGGUAGACACCUUGCUAAAGUGUUUAAUGAUUGAAUUUUAUAUUUGAAUCCCAAGUUCAGUUUUAUGGUAGGUUUCUGCUGUGUUUUAGUUCUUGACUUCACUCCUAAUAUUUCUUAAAGAAUAAAAAAAGUUUUGGUAAAGGAAUUGGAAUGUUCUAAUUACCAUCUGUAUAAUUGGUACUCAGGGCUUAGGUGGGAAAUGAAAUAAAUUACUCUGGUAAUUUAUUUGGUAAAAUGUUACUCUGGUAAAAUGUUUUUCUAGAUAGACUUUUUAUGGUUACUGGACUGAUAAGUUUAAAGGACUAAAGUUAUGUUUUGAAUCUGAAAUCGAAGAGCCAGUAAGAACAGUGUGAAUCAUAAGAUGUAAAGGGAUAGGAGAUCUCCAACACUACUACUAAUAUUGAGCAGAUCUUAUUACCCUGCACACAAAAUUAUUCCUUUUUCUUUAUUUUGUAAACGUGGGUCUCUCUAAUAGCACUGAAACAUGUUAUGCUGCUUUUUACUCCCCUUCCAUUAGUUAUGUAUUUCUUUCCACUUUUAAAGAUCUUUUGGAGUUUCCUGUGGAUUUAAUGUAAUAGGUCUGUCUGUCCUUUUGUCCACUUUCUCCUUUCUACUUCCCCUUCUUUGCUUUUAAAACUGGCAGAAAAGAAGAAAACUAAUGUUAUGUAGAGUUAGAAAGUUAUUGCUUGAGGGGUACUUUGCUGUUCUACAACUGCUGAACCCAGUAUGUCAGUUUAAUGUUCUAUGGUUGUUCUUUCUUAACUGGUUCCUUUUGCUGUUCCUGGAAUUACAAAGGAUUGCUGUGGUCAUUUAACUCUUCAUAGCACCUUGAUAGUAGCACACAGGAAACUUGCAGUUGCUAUAGAAAUAAAUAAAUUAAUCUGAAAACUGCAUCAUGUCAUGUUUUAGUGAGGAGUUGGUUUAGUAGUUUUCUUCUCUGUAAGAAACCUGCUAAUAAUAUGUAUCAAAAUAAUUUAAUAAAUUAUAUAUAUCUAAUGAGAUUCUUUUAAAAAUUUUACAUAAAGAAGAAUGUUAAUAGUCAACAGGGUGAAAUAUAUCAUGUUACAACUAUUGGAUAAAUGUAAGAGGGAUUUAAAUCUUAGCAUCUAAUGCUAUUUUGGUUUCUGUGAAAUGAUGUACUGUUGCAUUGCUGGUGGCAGUGGAAAUUUCUAUUUUGGUUAUUUAGCAUUUGCAUUAAAUGCAAACAAAGUUUAUGAUUAUCUAAUAGACUCAUUUCUAGCAGUUUAUUUUUUUUUGAGAAAUAAUUUUUUAAAACUAGAUGAAAAAUGUUCCUUGAGCUUUAUUUUAAAAAGAACAAAAAAUUUGCUAUUUCUAAUAUGAAACGGUGAGGACUUUCUAGUCAACUGGAUUUGGAGUAAGGGAGACUAUAGAAGAUUACUAAGCUAUAUAGGAAGGUUCUUGUAAACUUGGUGGUUAAAAAAUACAUAUAUGUUUGAUUUCACAAGUAAAAGUUAAUUUCUAGCUUCCUCAGGAUUGCUUCUUGGGUUACUACCCCCUUUUCUGAGGAUUUACCUUCCCCUUCAUUAGUACAGGUAGUUACAGUGAGAGUCAGAAUAACAAUUGGUAACCUGUAUGUCCAAGAGUAGAGUAAUAAUUAAGUAAAUUGUAUUCUUUCCAUUAGAUGUAAUACUAUGCGGCUAUUGGAAGUUACAAUUUUAAAAACUGGCUGUGUGAAAAAUGCUUUUGAUAGAAGAAAUUUUACAUAGUAUUGAUGAAGCAUCUUGUAGUGGAGAGAAUAUGGAUUUCGGCACAUCUCUAAAUCCUAGUCUUGAUGUUUUCUAAGGGGCUUUGGGUUAGUUACUUUGUCUGAGCCUCAGUUCUUCUCUAUAAAUAAUAUAUUCAUAAGUUAGUUGUAGAAUUAAGCAAAAUAUAUCAAGAGCCUACACAAUGCUUGGCUCAUAACACAACAUUUUAGGUUUUCAUUUUUGUUAUGUACGUAAAAUGUGUGCAUUGUGUGAAUUUGACUUUAUUGAAAUAGACAAGAUGAGAAUACUGGAAAUGAUUAUGUGUUAGGGUAGUAAAAUUAUAUUUUAAAUUUUGUAUGACAAUUUUUUUUAGAAUAAAAAUGUUUAAGGAAGAAAUGAUUUACUUGUUCUGCUAAAAUAAUGUAAUUAAUAAUUGUAGGAUCCUUAAAUUUAGUUGCAAUGGGAUUUUGUUAGGUUGCAUUAUUGGAUACUGUAUUUUCAGAUUUCAGAAGCUGAAGAUUAAAUAAUUGGUGUUCAACCUGUUUAAUAAAUUGUAAAAGGAAAUGCUCUGAAUUCAGGGAAAAAGAGGUGUUUACAUAUCUUCCUUGCUGUUGUUUUUUUU